UUGAAAGGGAAACGAUUGAAGUCAGUCGUACCUGUGGGUAAUCAGCCUUUUGGGUGUGAUUUUGUGGAGUGUGAGGAGUUAAACGCCUCCAUGCCUGCAUAUUCGUGCACUUUGGGUGUAUUUACCCGUGUGGUAAGUUAACAUCAAUUUCGGUGGUCAUAAAAUGGCUGGAGGAAUGUAGCUUCGAUCUUGUAUUGAAGUGUUAUAGCCUUCGGUAGAUGUGAUAAUCGGGAUUGAGGAUUGCAACGGAUACCCCUCGGGGCUACCUGUCUGAUCUCUGAUCGUUGCUCUGGUGCCGAAAGCUUGCUUACGGUUAUCAAAGUCGAUGGUCAAUAGGUUAGAACGGGUUAAAUUCGUUAAGGAUGUUGACGUA
rnacentral:rRNA from 1 species